rnacentral:tRNA from 1 species
UCCUGGGUGGCUCAGUCGGUUGAGUGUCCGACUUCAGCUCAGGUCACGAUCCACAGUUUGUGGGUUCGAGCCCCACAUCAGGCU